UGAUAUUGCUCGGUAGACCGACGGUCCGU
rnacentral:sRNA from 1 species